GCGACCCCAGGUCAGGGCGGGGUUACCCGCUGAAUUUAA
rnacentral:rRNA from 1 species